rnacentral:rRNA from 1 species
CAACGAGCGCAACCCUUGUCUUUAGUUGCCAUCAUUAAGUUGGGCACUCUAGAGAGACUGCCAGGGAUACCCUGGAGGAAGGUGGGGAUGACGUCAAAUCAUCAUGCCCCUUAUGCUUAGGGCUACACACGUGCUACAAGGGGUAGUACAGAGGGUUGCCAAGCCGUAAGGUGGAGCUAAUCCCUUAAAGCUACUCUCAGUUCGGAUUGUAGGCUGAAACUCGCCUA